UCAGGCCUAACACAUGCAAGUCGAACGGCAGCACGGACUUCGGUCUGGUGGCGAGUGGCGAACGGGUGAGUAAUACAUCGGAACGUGCCCAGUCGUGGGGGAUAACGUAGCGAAAGCUACGCUAAUACCGCAUACGAUCUAAGGAUGAAAGCGGGGGAUCGCAAGACCUCGCGCGAUUGGAGCGGCCGAUGGCAGAUUAGGUAGUUGGUGGGGUAAAGGCUCACCAAGCCGACGAUCUGUAGCUGGUCUGAGAGGACGACCAGCCACACUGGGACUGAGACACGGCCCAGACUCCUACGGGAGGCAGCAGUGGGGAAUUUUGGACAAUGGGCGCAAGCCUGAUCCAGCCAAGCCGCGUGCAGGAUGAAGGCCCUCGGGUUGUA
rnacentral:rRNA from 1 species